rnacentral:rRNA from 1 species
UAUCGGGAAUUCCUAGUGGCGAACGGGUGAGUAACGCGUUGGUGACCUGCCCCGAAGAAAGGGACAACAGUUCGAAAGGACUGCUAAUACCUUAUGUGAUCUGAGAGUCAGAGGUCUCAUGAUUAAAGGAGUAAUCCGCUUCGGGAGGGACCUGCGUCCCAUCAGCUAGUUGGUAGGGUAACGGCCUACCAAGGCUACGACGGGUAGGGGACCUGAGAGGGUGGUCCCCCACAAUGGAACUGAAACACGGUCCAU